rnacentral:rRNA from 1 species
GACGAACGCUGGCGGCGUGCUUAACACAUGCAAGUCGAACGGAAAGGCCCUGCUUUUGUGGGGUGCUCGAGUGGCGAACGGGUGAGUAACACGUGAGUAACCUGCCCUUGACUUUGGGAUAACUUCAGGAAACUGGGGCUAAUAUCGGAUAGGAGCUCCUGCUGCAUGGUGGGGGUUGGAAAGUUUCGGCGGUUGGGGAUGGACUCGCGGCUUAUCAACUUGUUGGUGGGGUAGUGGCUUACCAAGGCUUUGACGGGUAGCCGGCCUGAGAGGGUGACCGGCCACAUUGGGACUGAGAUACGGCCCAGACUCCUACGGGAGGCAGCAGUGGGAAAUAUUGCACAAUGGGCGGAAGCCUGAUGCAGCAACGCCGCGUGCGGGAUGACGGCCUUCGGGUUGUAAACCGCUUUCGCCUGUGACGAAGCGUGAGUGACGGUAAUGAGUAAAGAAGCACCGGCUAACUACGUG